GACGAACGCUGGCGGCAGGCCUAACACAUGCAAGUCGAGCGAGCGGCGGACGGGUGAGUAAUGUCUGGGAAACUGCCUGAUGGAGGGGGAUAACUACUGGAAACGGUAGCUAAUACCGCAUACCAUCAGAUGUGCCCAGAUGGGGUUAGCUAGUAGGUGGGGUAACGGCUCACCUAGGCGACGAUCCCUAGCUGGUCUGAGAGGAUGACCAGCACAACUGGAACUGAGACACGCUCCAGACCCCUAGGGGAGGCGGCGGGGGGGAAUAUUGAAAAAGGGGCGCAAGCCUAAUGCAGCCAUGCCGGGUGUGGAAAGAGGGCCUUCGGGUUGUAAAGCACUUUCAGCGGGGAGACGUUACCCGCAGAAGAAGCACCGGCUAACUCCGUGCCAGCGGCCGCGGUAAUA
rnacentral:rRNA from 1 species